GUAGGUGAACCUGCGGAAGGAUCAUUACCUUUCGGCAAGCCGUAGGCAUGCAGCAAUGUAUGCCUGCGUCUUGACGAAUUAACCAUCCCUGUCUUUUGCGUACCCAUGUUUCCUCGGCAGGCUUGCCUGCCGGCUGGACAACCUAUAACCCUUUUAAUUUUUAAUCAGCGUCUGAAAAACUUAAUAAUUACAACUUUCAACAACGGAUCUCUUGGUUCUG
rnacentral:misc_RNA from 1 species